CCCAGCUGUAAGGCAGAGGAGCAGGGUCUGAGGGCUGGCCUACCUCUGUCCCACCCAGUUUCCUGAGGUCUGUGUUGUUCCCAGCAGACUUCCAGCUUCUGGAAUGCUGGGCCUCCACCCUCAGGUCCAGUAAGGGCUGGGUGCUCCGCAGGAAUGAGCACGACCUGCCUGCAAAGGGCUGAGACACUGACCAACUACUCCAGGGUUAAGCCUGACUGCUCCUAGUCACCUGACUAGCCCACCAGCUGGUGACCUUGGACACAUUUCCCUGGGACUCAGUUUCUCCAGGGCUUCACAGCUGCAUUGUUCUUUUUAAUUUUAUUUACUUUGUUAUUGUACUAGGAGGAAGAUAGGGAGAGAGAGGAGGCCAGACAGUAGCACACCAGGUUAAGCACACAUAAUGCAAAGUGCUAGGACCUACGUUAAGGAUACUAGUUCGAGCCCCUGGCUUCCCACCUGAGGGGUGGGGAGGGGGUCGCUUCACAAACAGUGAAGCAGGUCUGCAGAUGUCUUUCUCUCCCCCCUCUCUGUCUUCUCUUCCCCUCUCAAUUUCUCUCUGUCCUAUCCCAAAAAAAUCAGAAUAAUUGGUCACCAGGAACAGUAGAUUAGUAGUACAGGCACUGAGCCCUAGCAAUAACCCUGGAGGCAAAAAAAAAAAAAACGAGAGAGAGACACUUGCAAUGCUAUUUCACCACUUAUGAAGCUUUCCCCCUGUAAGUGGGGACCAGGGGCUUUGACCCUGGGGCCUUGUACACUGGUAUGUGCACUUAACUAAGUGCGCCACCACCUGGCCCCACAACUCACACUGUCUGCCACUUUGGUGGACUCUUCUUGUUUCCAGGUAGAGGGGGAACGACACACAGAGAGACGGAGUGACACCACAGCACGGCCCCACCGCUUGUGAAGUUUUCUCUCUGCAUAUGGUGGCCAGGGGUUUGAGCCCAGGUCCUCACUGAGGAAUAAACCUCUGGAUGACUGAACAAAUAAGCAAGGAGGCAGCCCAGGCUAAGGGCCACAGAGUGGGGCAAGGGACAGUCACCCACCUUCCGAGCGCAGCGUGGUCCCCAUCUCCAGGGGGAUGACGAGCAGCGGGAAGACCCCACUCAGCCCCACCAGGAG